UGGUCAGUAGCUCAAUGGUUAGAGCAAGUGCCUUAUACGCACUGCGUUACCAGUUCGAGUCUGGUCUGACCAA
rnacentral:tRNA from 1 species